rnacentral:rRNA from 1 species
UACGUAGGGUGCAAGCGUUGUCCGGAAUUAUUGGGCGUAAAGGGCUCGUAGGCGGCCAACUAAGUCAGACGUGAAAUCCCUCGGCUUAACCGGGGAACUGCGUCUGAUACUGGAUGGCUUGAAUCCGGGAGAGGGAUGCGGAAUUCCAGGUGUAGCGGUGAAAUGCGUAGAUAUCGGAAGGAACACCAGUGGCGAAAGCGGCUCCCUGGUCCAGCACCGACGUUCAGGCACGAAAGCGUGGGGAGCAAACAGG